GCCUGGGCGAUCGACAGGUCCUCCUCAGCUUUGGCAAGCUUCUCCAAGCUGACCCGAAGCUGCUCGCGCUCGCCUUGGAGUUCGACGGCAACGCCAUCCCGCUCGUGCCGCAGACGACGCACGGCCCGGCUCUUGUGUCUGGCUUCCUUCUUGGCCGACCUUAGCUCGGACCCGAGCCGGGAGACUUCGUCUACCAACUUAGCCUCUCGGUCGGCCGACUGCUUUAAGUGGUCGACCAACAUUGCUUUGUCGGCUUCGGCCGCCGCCGACCUCUCC
rnacentral:lncRNA from 1 species